UACGAAGGGGGCUAGCGUUGUUCGGAUUUACUGGGCGUAAAGCGCACGUAGGCGGACUUUUAAGUCGGAGGUGAAAUCCCAGGGCUCAACCCUGGAACUGCCUUCGAUACUGGGAGUCUUGAAUUCGGGAGAGGUGAGUGGAACUGCGAGUGUAGAGGUGAAAUUCGUAGAUAUUCGCAGGAACACCAGUGGCGAAGGCGG
rnacentral:rRNA from 1 species